rnacentral:lncRNA from 1 species
UCCACAUUUUUUUAUAUCCUAGGGUAAUAUGUUUCUAGUUGGACAUGAAUUUUAGCAGAUGCAUAGAGCUGGAUGUGUUACAUAAUCUGUCAAUAUCCAAUAUUGAAAUAUUAGAUAUGCAGUUCUAAAUUACAGAAAGAAUAUAUUGGGUAGGCCCUUCUGCAAUGUGUAGUGAAUAUGAUAACAGUGAACAAUGUCUUCAACAGUAGUUUAGGAAAUGAUGCUGUGGCUGUUUCUUAAUUUUACCCUCACUAAAUGGAAUGCAGCGGAAGAAUUCCCAUGGGGGUAGCGGGACGGAAGGAAGAGAGCAGCCUUACCAGGCCCGGAUAGAUAGCUUUCUGGUGACUCAGCGUGGUGCAGAACAGAAUUCAGAGUGGAGGGAUGGCUGGCGCCCUGAUCUUUGUCAUCUCUGUUUCCCCACCCUGGCAUGUGGGAGGUGCUAGCACCUUUCCUGGCUGCCUCACUGGCUGUUACGAGGGCCAAACAGAGGAAGUUCAAGGCAUGAACAUUUGUGAAGGCAUUUUUCAAAAUGUGGCGGUCUAGUGGAUGAGAGAGCGUCAAAGACGAAACUAAUACUGACUCCUUAUCGCAGUGGUUUGGAUAAUAAGUGUUCUGUGUACCCCUUGACGUUUGACAAAAAUGAAAACAUGGCUGCCAAA